UUCAGGAGCGCCCGGUAUGUCUGCGUCUUCUCCUCUGGGAGCUUGGAUACCCUCUCAGCCAAGAUGUCCUUGACCUGGGCCAGACUGCAGCCAGCACCUAUUGUCAGUCCUGGAAAGCACAUUGUUUUUAUAGGUGACGUGGGAGGAGCAGCUGGAUUGCAAUCGUGGUGUCAAGGCCAUGGCAUCCAGCUAGUGCGGUGGCUGCUCAGAGAAUCACCAGAACACACACAGCACAGACGCCCCACUCCCACGUCAAUCAAAUCAGAAUCUCCACGUGUGGGGCUUUAUCAACGUCUCCCCAGGGUGUUCCCUGGGCAGCCAGGGUUGGGAGCCCCUGGGCUGGGCUACACUCUUUGGAUGAAUGCAAGAAAACAGAGGCUAGAGAGAAGGAAUGACAGUAACACCUUGCAGGUGGCAGACUCUACUAGAACUUUCUGUGACCUGACUGACCACGGUGAAGCUAUGAAAAGCUGUUUUGUGAUUAAGGGGGAUAAAUCAAAGGUCUUUCAAUUGCCUAGGUCAUUGUCUACAAUCAGUAAUGCUUUGACUGCGGAUCUGAACCUCUACAGGUAGCCUUGAUGUUCAAAAUCUUCAACAACCAGUUCCAGGAGGGGCACCAGCCAAUCAGAAUGAACACAGCCCAAAUAAUUAUUCGUCCCACCAGCUUUAUCCUUCAAUUCCAGCUUUAUUCUCUGUUCUAAAGAAGAUGAUAAUCUAUCUGAAAAGUAAGAAGAAAGAUGAUCAGCUAAUGACAUGUGGAUGGAUUUCCAGGUUUCUUUUAAAUCACUUAACAGAUAUAAUUAUCUUGAUCAACAUGCAUGCAAAGCUUCAACUUGCUGCACCACAACCCAGAAGCCCCAGGAGGCAAUGUCAACACAGCAUUGGUUACAAAGAUAGAGUUAAGAAGUGAAAAAAUUAGGAUGUGCUCUUACCUGCACGGGGUGAAGCCUGGUUUUGAUGCUUCCAACACCUUCCACAGUGGUGACAGCAGCUCCAUACAGAGAGCAGAUGGGCACCAGGCAUGCGGUGACAGAGAAGUGUCUUUAUAUGAGAAGCACAAGGAAAAUCAAAAGGGGUAACACAGUUCUGCCUGGUGGAGAACAUGGGAACCAAGAAGGGCAGCAGGAAACCCACCAAGCCUGUCCUUCAACCUCGAUGACGGGGACCUGGAGGCGUGACCAGGAGGGAAACUUUAGAGUCCCUUCCAUUGCCUGUAUUAUCUGUAAGAAUUGGAUCCUUGGGAAUAUGGACAUUCUGAACAUCAGAAAAACUUUCCAAGCCCAGGACAGACCCACCUGGGUCUGGACUCAGUGGGAAUGGACUCGUGUCAUCAGGAAUACGGUUGGACGUCAACUGAUAUUCAUUAGGAUGUUGUUCCCAUAACAGGCAAAAGGCGCACCUUUGUCUUUUAACCAUAUUUGAGAAUUUUUUUGCCUGUUCAUUUUAAACUCUCUGUGUAGGGUCAUUCAGCAGAGUUGGAAGGCCUGUGUGCUGAGGUCAUUUCUUGAUUUUUGGGGCCAGUGGAUUUGGGAGCAGCCCAGUCCUGGAAUCUGGCCCUUAAUGAAAGGCUGGAAUCAUGGCCCUGGUCCAGCCCAACAGUAGAAAGAACAUUAGCAUCAGAGCCAGAAAACGUAGGCUCAAGUCCUUGUUCUAUGGCUUACUAGUUGCAUGGCCUUGAAAAAGUCACUUUAUGCUCCUGAACCUCAAUUUCCUCAUCUGUACGAUGAAUGUUGGGCCUCAAUUGGCUCCCACCCCCCGACCCCACACCUUGCAGCUUGUGGGAUCUUACUUUCCUGACCAGAGCGUGAACCCAGGCCCUCAGCAGUUAAGCACUGAGUCCUAACCACUGGACCGCCAAGGAAUUCCCUUAAUUGGCAUUUCUUAACCUGGGAUGCAUUGAUGAGCCUUGACAGGUCCGUGAUCUCCUGGAAACUGUGCAAAACGUUAUUCAUUUUUGUAGAAGCUCAUAGCUUUUAUCAGAUUAUCAAAGGGGUCUAAGACCUAGAGAGGCUUAGACUCACAAGGCUAGAAGGUCUCUGAGAUCUUCCUCAGCUGCGAGAUGAGAACGCAAGUCUGGUCCCUGAGCAUCUGGGCAGAUACCUUAUCUCCUGGCACGCGGGGUCUUGCUUAGACACCAUCACGGUGCAGGCACCGCAGCCUCCUCUUCCGCAGGCAUACUUGGUUCCUGUGAGGCGCACUGGGAGGGGUGGUCAAGGAAAGAGUCCCAGGCGGACACCUUGCCUCCAUUAGAGCUGCCACCUUAGGGUGUCGCUAGCCAGGAAAGUCUCCUUUGUGGGUGGGGGUGGAGGGGUGUUGGGGGAGAGGGUGGUGCAGGUCUGAGAAGACAUUCUCCUGCCUCCAGGCCUCAGUCAAGGCCACUCUGUAUCUUACCAGCUGUGUGAUACUGGACACACGAACAUCUCCCCACCUGUUUUUUUCACUUGCAAAGAGGGAAAAGCAAUACCUACUUUAUGUUCACAGGCUUAUCAUAAGCAUCUUGUAAGAUAACAGAAGUAAAAGCCCUUGGAAAAAAUGCUAUUUCACUGUAGGUAUUCUUCUGGGUUCAAAUCAUGUCACUGGAAGAUAAGCACUUAUUUUUAGCAGUUUAAUGUACUGCUAGUUUUGCCCGAUAAGUUGUACUGCAUUUGAAAUCAAGUCAGUGAGCUUUCGGAGAAAACUCCCAUCCUUAUUUUCACAUCCCACCUGGAGUGUCCCUCUGCUCCUGCUUGGCCCAGGUCCAAUCCCAAGGCUCAGCCUCUGCCCCUCUCUAGUCAUCCCUCUCCCUCAUUGUGGCCCAUUUCCACACAGUUCAUGGAUUGGAUGUAAUUAGACUGGCCAAGAAGACUUCAGAAUAUCUGGCCCAUUUUUUUUUGUUUUCUUAAACCCUAUGGCUUGUUCAUCUAAAUUACAUCAUAACCGUAAAUGCUUACAGGGAGGUGUGUGAAGGAGUGGAGGGGCUAGUGUAACUGGAGAGCUUGCCUCUCAUUUUAGAUGGAGGAUGACAGACAGGCCCCACCCAGCUCUAAGCAAGACUGCUGCCAGGCAGGAAUGACUAUAUUCCAAUUUUUCAUGAGAAACUCCUAUUUUUUUGAAAAAUAUGAAAUUUCUUAAUUUUCAAACAUUGACAACGAAUUAAAAACCUUGUGGGCUUUUACACAAGACUUGUAAUUUCUGUCUUUUUAAAAAUAUUUGGCUUCUCUGAGCAAUCCACUAGAUUUACCCAUUAAAAUAUGUUUGCCAUUAUUAAGAUUGAAAUUUCAGAAUAUAGAAUGUUGGGGGAAGAUCUGUUGUGAGAAAACAGAUGUCGAGAAAGGUAAUCUUCUCCUACGACACGUGCUCUUCCUGAACCUGGAGAAUUUGGUUUUCCUCCAGGGCAGGGUACAUGCAACACAAACCUCUGUUACAUAACCACUCUCUUGGGGAUCUUGAAGGCACUCAAAGGAAUAAUUAGUGCUAAAGGAAAGAGCUUAGCUUCUAUUGUGUGGCUAUUAAAUCAAGAUAUAAAAAACUCUGGGGAAACUUUAUCUUCUCCAAAGAGCUCAAUUAACUUAACAUCCUUAGAAUCAUUGCCAAAAGCAAAUAGAGAGCAAGGGCUGAGGGGCCUAGCUGUUUGGAGAUGGAGAGGUUUGGUUAGUUCUCACAAUCAUCCUCUUGAUCUUAAGUUUUAAGGCAAACACAGACACGGCCAAGAAUUUGAUCAAAAGGGUCCAGUUCUUUCGCAGGAAGGUCAGCAGAGUGACUUCUGGGUCCACGUUCCUCUCAACCACCUGCAUUGGAAACAGAAAAGAGAAUAUUAUGGAAAUUGAAUGGGCAACCCAGAGGAACGCCUGUCAUGGCUUGCUUGGUUUACAGACUGGGGUAUAUUAGGCCUGAUUUCAUUUGCCUCUUUUUCUGUGCUCUAAAGGCAAACAGCUUUUACAUACAUUUGUAGAGUAGGAGACCCACCAAGCAAACGUGGCAAUAAUGCUCUUAUAUGUGAUUAGAGCUGGGAACCACCGUUGUGUAAAGAUGCCUCUGGCAUUUAUGUUCUUCACGUGUGCUCCACUGUCUAAUUUUUUGGAGUCUUCCAGCCCAAUUUUUUGUACUGUUGAAAUAUUUCAAAUUGGGGAAGGACUUGGAUGCUGUGUGUGUGUGUAUGUGUGUGUGUAAAUGAGAGUGUGAAGGGUCCUUGAGGGAAGAAGGCUGAAUAGGAGGGGUUUCUAUUGUGGCACUUCUGAGAUGCGCCCUGUGGGGAGUACAUUUGAUAACAUCAGGGAUCCAAAGGGUUGGUGGCAGAAGGGGGAGGUGAGGGAGUGGCUCCCAGCCUGGAGUUGUCCCUGAUGUGCCACUGGCAGUGUGGCCAGUGGCGAGCCUUGUGGCCCCAGCGCAGGACCCAGGGAGACUCUGGAGGACCAUGAGGAUCCCUCUCUCCCUCACCUUGAAAAGUGGGGGAUUUAGUGCUCUAAAGCCACGGAGGGACUUUCCUUGCAGCUUCUUUCCCAUUUGUUUAUUUCCUUUGACUUUGUCUUUGGGUGUCCCGCAAAUACCUACAGCCAUUUUGUUGCAACAGAGGAAAGGAAGCUACAGUGGGCUAUUCAUGUAAGUUUCUUCUUUAUCCCCAGAAGGAAAACAUGAACUUGUGUAGACCUCAAAGAAUAAGAAAAGUACAGGAAAGGACUUCCCUGACAGUCCAGUGGUUAAGACUCCACGCUUCCACAUCAUGGGGCCCUGGUUUGAUCCCUGGUAGGGGAACUAAGAUCCUGAAAGUACAAGAAGAUGCUUCCAAGCUGAGAUAGACAAUUCAACUGCUCUCUGGAUCUCUAGGGGCUGCUAUCAAUGAAAGAUGCAGCCCUUGUCUGCCUGCUCUUACUUCCAUCCCAGAUCUUUUGAAAGCAUUUAAUGAGAGUGUGGUUGGAUAAUAUUUUUGUUAUCAAGCUGACUCCACUCCCACCAUACAACCUGUGUUUCCUCUAACCCUUGACUUAUUCCCUGUUCUGCCUGCAGCCACUUCAUUCUGGGCUCAUGACUCAGAAGGAAUGUGGAACAGAAAACAGAGGAAGGAGCCUCCAAAGCCCAGGCCAGUGGAUCAAGCGAGUAAGGACUCAGAGUCUUGGAAGAAUGUUUGGUGGCUGCUGGUGGUGGAGACUGGAUACAGGAGAGAGAGUUAGAAUGAAAAUGAUGGGAAGGUAGGGCUUCCCUGGUGGCACACUGGUUACGAAUCUGCCUGCUAAUGCAGGGGACAUGGGUUCAAGCCCUGGUCCAGGAAGAUCCCACGUGCCUAAGAGCAACUAAGCCCAUGCACCACAACUACUGAGCCUGCGCUCUAGAGCCUGAGAGCUACAACUAGUGAGCUCACGUGCCGCAGCUACUGAAGCCUGCGCACCUAUAGCCUGUGCUCUGCAACGAAAGAAGCCAUGGCAAUGAGAAGCCCGCGCACCACAACGAAGAGUAGCCCCUGCUCACCACAACUACAGAAAGCCUGUGUGCAGCAACGAAGACCCAAC